AUACAGAGGGUGCGAGCGUUAAUCGGAAUUACUGGGCGUAAAGCGCGCGUAGGCGGUUCGGCAAGUCGGGUGUGAAAUCCCCGGGCUUAACCUGGGAAUUGCAUCCGAAACUGCCGGGCUAGAGUGUGGUAGAGGGGAGCGGAAUUCCGCAUGUAGCGGUGAAAUGCGUAGAUAUGCGGAGGAACACCAGUGGCGAAGGCGGCUUCCUGGACCAACACUGACGCUGAGGUGCGAAAGCGUGGGGAGCAAACAGGAUUAGAAACCCUAGUAGUCC
rnacentral:rRNA from 1 species